GACAGUCAGGCUACAGACAAAUCUACUGUCCAUGUUAUUUCGCACUGACAUGACAAUACAGAAAACAAAGCAGAAUUUUUAUUUGAACUAUUAUGUAAUGCUUACAAUGCUCAAAUUUUCUGAAUUUCAGCACACAGACUUUCCCUUUCGCAUAGUCUAUUCUCGUCUCCUCUUAGUAGCGUUGUUGACUUCAGAUAAAGAAACAAGCUUCUCUGCUCAGCAGGAUACAGAAGCCUUCAUUAUCAUACCAGUGUGUGUUUCUGAGCAAAAAAUACACACACACACACACGCGCGCACACACAGUCCUCUCCAUCAUGUAUGCGUCUCGUCGACCUCGCGCAGGCACAGACUGUUCUCACAUGUACCCACGCAUUCCCCAAUGACUCAUCUAAAAUAACACAAGAGGCAUAUCAAAAUACACAUUAAUACCCUCAUGAAAAUAAACGGUGGGGCCCAGCAGAAAUAAACAGUGGUCAGCGGGGCUUGGUCUGUGGGCCGUGAGACUGCAGCGCCUGCAGCCUCUCCUCCAGCUCUUACUGCUACAACAACAUACCAAACACAUCGACGUCCACGGGGGAGAACUCCGAAUGAAGUGACUGAGCAGCUCUUCAGGAUACCACAAGCAGGUCCACUGCCUGAUGGAUGCUGACGAGCAGCAGACAGACAUCCGUCUGGAAGGAAACAUCACUGUAUCCUCCACUGGGCCUCCAUCUCCCACCUACUGACUGAUCAAUACAGAAGGCAGAUAAAUAAAGAUAGCACUGAAAAAGCAUCUCAGGGGCCUCAGACCUGCGUGUUUCACAUCACAUUGACAACACAGUGUGUAAACUGCACUUUUACUUAUAUAUAGGCCCUUUUCAUAGCAGACAAUUUGAUUUAUCAUAGUGAGAAAAGCACAGGUGUUAAAUAUAACAUUAAAGAUGCAUUUAAUUGAGUUCAGCCAUCACUGAUUUUAUUAUCUACGCUUUUCCUGCUGUGACAAAUAUCUUCUAUGAAAAAGACCAACUGGUAUUGGCGAUAGAUAGAUAGAUAGAUAGAUAAUAGAUAGAUAGAUAGAUAGAUAGAUAGAUAGAUAGAUCAUGGUCGAGCUUCUCCUCAGGUGGAGCACACAGAGUUGGAGCAGCCACUCAUGAACAGAUGGCUGCCAUAUUUCCAUCUAAGUGCGCCUGGCAAUGUGCUGACACUAUAAUCUAUCUUGGCAGGCAGAAGGACGACGCACUGUUCACACAACGUUCAUGGAGAGAGAGCACUGUACACAUAUUUGCAAAUGUGGCAUAUAAAAUAUAGGAGUAGAUGCUGCUCCAACAUAUCCGCUGAGAAUUUUCCCACCGCUACUUUCACCAACACCGUUCAGCAUGCACAGCGGUGAGCAGGAGUGAAAUCUGCACACACUGCAUCACAUUGUUUAUCAGAUAGAUGAUAAAGAAACUUUUCUAUCAGGUAUUGAUUAUAAAGGUAUUAUCGUCUGUCUUCAGUUCAGGGAUCAGUUGACGUGAAGACGUGAAGAAGAAAAUGAGAACAUACAGUUGAUAACAGCCUUUUUCAUUUAUUUAGGUAAAUCAGUUUCUAAUGAUUUACAGUUUUCAAGACCUUGACUGGAAAUGCCAAACGAAAAACCAAAAAAAAAAAAAACAAACCAAAAAAAAAAAAAAACAUUGCUCAGGGCAGUUUUUCAUUCCUCUGUUGUGUAAGUAAAACCAGUGGCCCAGUGCAUCUCUUAAAUUUCCUCCUGAGGAAUGAAAAAAGAACAAACUAGAGCAAAAGUCCCUCACUACUCAAGGACUGUGUUUUAUGCCUAAUAAAACUACAUUAGAUGUGAAAGAGAUAUGGUUUCAAUCUGCUCUGAAACACCAGUACAGGCUUCGGUUGAGCAGAUGGUGAACUCUUGUUGAAUGAGACAUUUCCGCAAAAUUAGAAAGAGAUCAUUGCUUGAUGAUGUCCAAUUAAACAUACUGGAAGUCCCAGCAGUAAGUGUAACAUUUUCACAGGACAAGUCAGUUAAUCAUGUCAGCCGUAAUCCAACAAUCUGUCAUUAUGUGCCACAGUGCCAACGGCUACUCCUGACUAGUUGAGCAAUUCUCAUAAAAUUUUAUUUAUUAAUGUGAACUGAGGCCUGUAUAGUAAUUUAAAAUCUACCCUGAGCCACUUCUUUUUCCAGUUUAUUACCAUCCAGUGAGUAUCACUCAAGCUUCAAUAAAAAUAUUGAACAUUUAUAUUGUAAAAGUUAAAGCUAAGGUACAGCUAAUCAUCUACUUUUCCUCUGAAGGCAAAGCUGUAGGCACAUGGAUUUUUCUGGUUGAUAAGUUAUAGCGGAACAGUUUGGGCCAGAGUAACGUCUCACCUCCAUCUGGACUGAGGACACUGUUCUGGGAUCUGUCAGUGUUGAUCUGUCCUCCAAUAACUCUCUAUUAAGCAUCCGCCGGCCUGAAUAAAUCAAGUCUAGCAGUCUCAUCUGUGAGUCCUCCUGGCUAUCUUUAUCACUCAUCCCUUCAGUAUGGUUCACUUCACUGUAUGCACACGCACACACACGCACACACAUACACACACACACACUCUUGAGCCGUAUCUACUUGAAUGCCCUAUUCAAAAAGCUGAAAUUUGAGUGUGUGAGAAAUUCAGGUACAAGAAUGAUUUUCUCUUUUCAGAUUAUACCAUUAGAGCUAAGAACAUUUUUCAGAGGCCUGAACAGGUAAAACUUCAUGCAAAAGAAGUUCAGGACUACCAGAAGGAUUGCCAUGAAGUUUGGUACGCACAUUCAUGUUCCCCACAAGAUAUUUUCGCAAUAACACUGAUCACCUGUGAACCUUUUCAUCUAGCUCCAUCAUCAUUUCAAAAUGUUAACUUGGUUUCUUUGGUUUAUGACCAUAUACCUGUAAAACUACUCAUGUCAUCUUUAGCGGUUUAGCUGUUGCUUGUGUUUAGAGCUAAUUAGCAAAUGUUAGCAACAAAAACGAAGAUGGUGAACGUGUUUAACAUUAUACCUGGUACACACCUGCAUGUUAGCAUUGUCGUUGUUAGCCUAUUAGCACGCUGACAUUAGCAUUUAGCUCAAAGCAGUGCUUUGAGCUAAUGCAGCCGGUCAAAGUACAGCCGGGCAUUUUUAAGCCUGCGUUGCUUAGUGUGGUUUUCUCUCUGAAUGCGCUUUGUUUAGACAGAUAGUCAUCAGUGGUGCAGUGAAGGUUUCUCGGCCUGGUAACAGGUGAAAUUCUGCAUCAAUUGUUUUGUGAUCCCACCCUGAUCUGACCCGACUGCGAGGCGAACUCUAAGUCUGAAACAGCUCCCACAGGCAGGUGCAUUGCAUACUGAUUUGCAAAUGAGCAAAAUCAACAAUUCCCGACAGCUAGCCAGAGAAUGAAUCAGGGCCUGACCUGAAGUACACUGUCCUCCUCAUGUUUGGGCGGGUGGGACCUUCUUCGAGGCACGUGAGUUGCGAAGAACACGGUACUUAAGAACAUGGUAAGAGGAGCCUGUUCGUUGGUGCACCGUCUGCGCCUGCGUAUUGAGUGGCAGAAUAACAUAAUGCAAGUCAAACUGUAUGUAGCCUUUGUGUGCCAGCUAAGAUCAAAUAUUCAGAGAGCAGCGGGCCGGUUGGACGGAUGUGAUCCGUCGAGCAGAAACACUGUGACCUUCCAAAAUCCCAAAUGGAAAACAGCAGUCAUGCUCAACUCCACGCUGCAGGUCAUUGAGAGGCUAAUGGAGGUGCAGUCCCGAGGGGAGCAGUGCUGUCUUAUCUUCAGCGGCACACCGACAGUGAGAAAAUGACAAAUAAAUGAGACUGACUCAUCCAACUGAAUGCAUGACAAACAUGAAUUUUUAAAAAAAGAACGGUUUUGUGGUGGAUUUAUUCUGGGAAGUGAACGGAGUCCUCGGAUCUCUGCGCUUACUCGGGUAACAUGUGAGAACUGUUUUCUAGGAAUCCUGCGUUUUGAACGGUGCUCAGUAAUGAUGACUGCCAUGCUUUAAAACUCACUAUUUAACAUGUUAUAUAACAUAAACAACAAACUAAGUGUAAAAAUUACAAGUUGGACUUUUACAGGGCGUUAUGUGUCUGACUAGUUGUUCCUCAUGAUGAAAAGUAUAGAUUUUGUUACCACCUUGUCUUGUCCAUUAAAUGGUAAUUAAAGUGGCUGCAUUUGAAAAUUAACACAAACCAAUCAAAUUUUCUUCCAGCAUUUAAAACCUAUUAGGAGUCACAUACAUCACAACUGUUGGUGUGAAACAGAUAUUUAAAAAAUAAAUCUACAAAAGCUAUUAUAAAUGACAUAAAAUUAAGCCCUUAUGAUUAUCUCAUUUAAGGCUUAGCAAGGAAAUGAGUGAGUGCAUUUCCCAAACUGUUGAACUAUUCCUUAAAAAAGCCACUUACAACUUUGUUGGAAAGUAAGGACACCUGUUUAAAUUCCUGAAAAUUGACCAUUUGAAGGUCAAGGUUUGCUUCAGCAGCAAUGAAAACCAAUGCCAGAGGCUGCCACAAGCAAUGUUACAAUAGAUGAUGUUGGGUUUUUUUUUCCCAAUAACAAACCAAAUCGCUUUGGCAAUCUAGCAAGGUCAACGUGAAGGGUGCAACCACUGCAUGUCCUCUGAGCAGGUUUUUAGCUCACAAAGUUUCACUUGUGGGGAGAGUCUGAAACCUCUGGUGAUGGGAGUGAUGCAUGCGGUCAGUUGUCUCUGAAACAGAGCAUAAGGCAUUAUUCUAAAGGAAAAUGUUAACUGUAAAAUGACUGAAUUAAUUAGUUACACUGACGGCAGUCUGAAAAUAGAAUUCUAGGUCACUGAGUGAUGAGUUGACAAUGUUAAAAAACAUCCAUAGGCAAAUUCUACCUCAAUUGCUUAUCGAUACUGGAGCACGGGAGCGUUUCCUCUCAACAAAGAGCUGUCGAGCUUUUAACAGAUGUAUUCUGAAAACACAGACAGGUCUUCACUGACGCAUCCUUGGUGGCUGCCCUUGGAUCACAGUGAGUUCAUGUCUGUUUUUUCAGACUUAAUGAAGUAGGAGCAGAGGGACUUUUGGGCCACAGAAGUAGCAUGCAGAUUUCAAAGGUUAAUGCCUAAAGGAGAAUAUGUCUUGAUUAAAUUAUCUGCUGUGUUUUGUUUAUCAUCUCAGUUGCUGGUUAGAUACGUCACAUCCCCUUUAAAAGCACAACAAACCAUUCAGACUGUGUCAGAGUCACGCACACCCAUUUUUUCUCUUUUUAUUCAGUGAUAAAUAAUUUCCUAUGAUCAUAGGCUUUAUGUGUAGACAUCCGAUCAAGGCAAGAGACAAAUUAGAGGGCACACAUUGCCACCAUUAGAAAAUAAUAGCAGAAACAAAAACAAUGAGGUAAGAAGUUCUCUUUUUUUUAUACAUUUGUGGUGCUUCUAUUUCUGUUACCUAUACUGUUGAAUGCACAGUGCUUCCUAAUACAGAAAUCCUGCCUUUUGUGUCUGUACAUUAUUAAACAAAAACAGGUCAUGGCACAAUACUGAACCACCCAAGACAGGGCACUGCAGAGUGUAUAGUUUAGCAGUAUACAUCAUCAUCAGACCGAGAGUUAAGAAAAGCUGAGCAGGAAACAGAAAUACAAAAACAAAAGCCUAAGACUUAGCGACUGAGCACUGUGACUGAUUCAACACACACAGACGCACACACUUUUCAGGAGAGUGUAAACAUGUAUACUAUGAGCCUAGAUGUGAGAUUUACUGUUUGUAUAUGUGGGUGAGCUGAAACAAUUAGUCAAUCAAAGUAAGAUUUGUCAACUAUUUUGAUAAUUAAUUUUUUAAAGCGGAAGUGUCAAUUUACACUGACUGACUUGUUGCUUUUCUCUGUCUCUUACAUGAUACUAAAAUUGUAAAUGUUUGGGUUAUGACCUGGUCUGUGACUGGAGCAGUUAACUGAUUAAUCAAUGGGCAGAAAAUUGAUCAGUGCUCUAUUUAGAGAACUGAAUAAUUGUUUUAGUCGUUUUUAAAGCAAAAAUUCUUCUUUAAAGUGAGAAUUUGAUGCAUGUCUGCAUGUCAUGUUGUACAUGAUAAUAAACUGAGUAUUUUUGGGUUUCUCAUGGUUGAACAAAGUAAAAUAUCUUAACAUAUUAAAUUGGGCUACUGGAAGUUAUAACAAGCAUUUUUCACUAUUUUAUAGACAAAACAAUUAAUUGCUUUAUUAUUAAUAAUAAAAUAAAAAUAAGCAGCAGAUUAAAUGAUAGUAAAAAGUUGCAGCUCUACUUGUGACAACAGAGGCUGACUUGGCUGAGGGAUGGCUGGGUUAAGGUCAACUGAUUUUGAAUAUUUAUGGAUAAACUAAUUUCAGAGAUGGAGGAGAUUUGAGUGCUCUGUGUUCUGAAUAAUGAGUUGGAAAAAUGAGGCUGAAUGAAUACAGAAUUCAACUGCAGAUGUUAUGUGUGGGGUGUUCAGUAUCAAAGUAAUCCAGUGAUAGUUGUCUGUACAUCCAUGGGUACAAUGCAAACAUGGACUUAUAAUAGCUGAAUCAGCAAACUCAUCAUGGCGCAACAAUGUAAACAUGGCAGCAUUAUACUUCCUGUUUACAUCCAACAGAGACUUUGAAAAGCUCUGGUAUAAACAUAUUUUUACCUGACAGUACUCUAAAAUGAUGGCUGUUAUAAUAUGUAAAUUUGAGUAAAUUUGUGAAAAGAUUUGUUUUUUAAAGGUGUGUUGUAAAAGUUAGAAACUGGUCUUAGAAAGUUAGAAACUGGAAGAAACGGAAUUUAAAGACAUUACCUCGGGCUCUAAAAACGUACAAUAGAGCGAUUAAUCUAGAACAUAAACACAUUUGGAACAAUUGUGAUAAUUCAUUGAUAAUUUUAGACAGUUUUUAAGCAAAAUAAUUAAUCAAUUUCUGGUUCCAGCUUCUCAAUUGUGAGGAUUUGAGGAUUUUUGUACUCUUGGUCAGAUACAACAACCUAUGUGCAAAGAUCAGCUUGGGCUGUGGGAAAUUUUAACAGGCAUUUUAACUAUUAAACAAUUACCCAAGAAAAUUAUCUGCAGACUAAAUGAUAAAGAAACUCAGUCAGCUGCAGUCCUAAUGUGUGGAUCUACACUGUACACACAGUGUAGUGGUUACCUGUUUAAAUGUGUGUGUGUGUGUGUGUGUUACCUUCACAGGCAUCGAGAGCAGCACACUGAGGCACAGCCCCAUGCAUGGACCUGACCUGCAGUCCCAGUGCCUUCACUGUUGUACAAAACAAGACAAAAAAAUGCUCCUGGCUCGCUUCUUUCCUGUCCAACAUUAAAGGAGAAUACCAUCAAUUUUUCAGCAUUCACAUAUGUUAUUUUUACACUGUAUUGAUUCAUCUUCUAUUUAUAAGAGUCAAUACUGUCGGCUGUAAUAAGCGAUAUACUGAAUGAGUUCAUCUUAACCCUUCAAAAACGUAAUACCACAGUGAUAUACAUCUUUGAAAAAUACUUUGAAGGUCACUGUGCUUGUGGCUGUACUUAACAGGAUUAAGGUUAUCACUACAAAUACAAGAGGUGUGUUUAUGUUCAGAUGAUUAUUCUCUAAAUUCACAGUCUUUAUAUAGUUAUUGGCAAAAGAUGUGCAUCAAUGUCAUGGUUUUAGCUUAGCAACACAGCUGUCUACAUCCAUUGAUACUUUAUUGCUGUCCAUAUAAAUAACAUUAUGCAAGGUCUUACAUUGAGUGGCAUUCUCCUUUAUGGUAACUGACCUCCCGUUCUGUUGCCCCACAGAGGUCACCCCCCUCCCUCCUCCCUCCUCCCUCCCCCGCUGCUACCUGCUCCUGAGCUGGAGCAGGUUGGAGACAAAGAGGCGGCACACCUGCACCAUCCUCUCGUCCACAGCAGCCCACAUGUUGGCCCAGACAGCUGGGAUCACAGCUGCUCUCCCUCAACCACACACCUGGGGCCGUGUGAUGUGACAGGCGAGAAUAAACCCUGCUCUAAAGCCAAGCUGGCAGAACCCCCCUCUGACCCUCACCCCCAAUAUCCCUCAAGGGUUUACUUCAGUGAACCUCAAUUACACUCAAACUACUUCAGUGGAAAGGCUGGGGGGGGGGGGUGGAAAAGAGAAAAAAAAGAA